GGAUGAACGCUGGCGGCGUGCUUAACACAUGCAAGUCGAACGAACCUUCGGGUUAGUGGCGGACGGGUGAGUAACGCGUGAGAAUCUGCCCUCAGGAGGGGGAUAACGGCUGGAAACGGCCGCUAAUACCCCAUAUGCCGAGAGGUGAAAUGAAUUUCGCCUGAGGAUGAGCUCGCGUCUGAUUAGCUAGUUGGUGUGGUAAAGGCUCACCAAGGCAUCGAUCAGUAGCUGGUCUGAGAGGAUGAUCAGCCACACUGGGACUGAGACACGGCCCAGACUCCUACGGGAGGCAGCAGUGGGGAAUUUUCCGCAAUGGGCGCAAGCCUGACGGAGCAACGCCGCGUGAGGGAUGAAGGCCUCUGGGCUGUAAACCUCUUUUAUCAAGGAAGAAGAUCUGACGGUACUUGAUGAAUAAGCCACGGCUAAUUCCGUGCCAGCAGCCGCGGUAAUACGGGAGUGGCAAGCGUUAUCCGGAAUUAUUGGGCGUAAAGCGUCCGCAGGCGGUCUUGAAAGUCUGUUGUUAAAGCGUGGAGCUCAACUCCAUUUCAGCAAUGGAAACUAGAAGACUAGAGUGUGGUAGGGGCAGAGGGAAUUCCCGGUGUAGCGGUGAAAUGCGUAGAUAUCGGGAAGAACACCAGUGGCGAAGGCGCUCUGCUGGGCCAUAACUGACGCUCAUGGACGAAAGCCAGGGGAGCGAAAGGGAUUAGAUACCCCUGUAGUCCUGGCCGUAAACGAUGAACACUAGGUGUCGGGGGAAUCGACCCCCUCGGUGUCGUAGCCAACGCGUUAAGUGUUCCGCCUGGGGAGUACGCACGCAAGUGUGAAACUCAAAGGAAUUGACGGGGGCCCGCACAAGCGGUGGAGUAUGUGGUUCAAUUCGAUGCAACGCGAAGAACCUUACCAGGGUUUGACAUCCUGCGAAUCCCUUGGAAACUUGGGAGUGCCUUCGGGAGCGCAGUGACAGGUGGUGCAUGGCUGUCGUCAGCUCGUGUCGUGAGAUGUUGGGUUAAGUCCCGCAACGAGCGCAACCCACGUCUUUAGUUGCCAGCAUUAAGUUGGGCACUCUAGAGAGACUGCCGGUGAUAAACCGGAGGAAGGUGUGGAUGACGUCAAGUCAUCAUGCCCCUUACAUCCUGGGCUACACACGUACUACAAUGCUACGGACAAAGGGCAGCAAACUCGCGAGAGCUAGCAAAUCCCAUAAACCGUGGCUCAGUUCAGAUCGUAGGCUGCAACUCGCCUACGUGAAGGAGGAAUCGCUAGUAAUCGCAGGUCAGCAUACUGCGGUGAAUACGUUCCC
rnacentral:rRNA from 1 species